ACAAUGUUGAGCUGGUGUUGGAUUCAUCAGCCAUUCCUGAAUCAGGCACUGCCAAAGUGAGGAACAGACCCACAGUAAAACACUUCACAUCCUCCUCUGAUGUUGUACAAGGGUUUAAUGUACCAACACCCAAAGUUCCUGUCCUCCCCCCUUUCAACAGACCAAAGAUCAACGGGGCAGGUGAGGGUCUCUGUCCUGUGUAUACCGGAGUUAAGUUGUGUAGCUAAAUCAUUUACACUCCUGUGAAUUUAAACCUUAGUGCUGGUUUUAGACAGAUCUAGUUGAUCACAAAAAAGCAACUCUGUUUUCGUAAAGGCUGAAAUAUAUAGAGCAGGUAAAUGUUUGUCUAAGGUCUUGGACAAUAACACUUUAGAAAGCAUCCAAGCAGCCAUUCACAAACAUGUUUGCAGAGCGGGAGGGUACAGAUCAGAUAUAAUUUAAUCAGUUUCACCAUAACUAAAAGUUAAAUAACUUACUUAAACAAUAAGUUAUAUCAAUAACAAAAUACACUGAACAAAAAUAUGAACGCAACAUGUAAAGUGUUGUUCCCAUGUUUCAUGAGCUGAAAUAAAAAAAUCCCAUAAAUGUUCCAUACUGAGGAGUAUUUAUGUCUGUAAUAAAGCCCUUUUGUGGGGAAAAACGCAUUCUGAUUGGCUGGGCCUGGCUCCCCAGUGGGUGGGCAUAUGCCCUCCCAGGCACACCCAUGGCUGCUCCCCUGCCCAGUCAUGUGAAAUCCGUAGAUUAGGGCCUAAUGCAUUUAUUUUCAUUGACUGAUUGCCUUAUAUGAACUGUAACAGUAAAAUCUUUGCGUUUCUAUUUUUGUUCAGUAUAGUUGUACUUUCUUGUGCCUCUGAUGGUUGUUCUCUCUUUAUAGUAAACGGUGAACGGUUGUCCAAUGGAUCUGCUGUAUCUGUACCUGAUUUGGUGGAGGGAGAGAUAUUUAUUCCACCUCCACCUUCGAUGGCCCCCCCACCCCCUCCACCCAUAUUCAACCCUCCCCCACCAGAUUUCUUGGGUGACCUCAACUCCAUUCAGCCUCCCUCCAUGCCCCCUCCAAAACCCCCAUCAAAACCACCAUCAAAACCACCAUCAGUUGCCCCCUCUGAAGGGGACAAGAAUGUUUUCACCUCCAUGAAACUUCCACCUAUGGCCCCUCCGAAGCCCCCGUCAACUUCCUCCAGUGCUUCUAGUUCCUCUUUGUCCAGUUCCACACCACCACCAACCACUGUCCCUGAUAUCACAGAGCCCCCAAAGUUUGCCCCUCCCCAGCCCCCUACAGACAUGAGGCAAGCUGCUCUGAAAGCCCUGAAGACACCGCCUACAAAGCCAAUGAGGCUGUCCUCCAUCCCCAUUAUAUGUGAACUCCCCCAGGUUCCAGCCCCAGCACCCCCUGUACAGAACCCUAGACCGUCCAGCUUCAACCCCCAGAACACAGCUAAGCUCUACAGUGUUCCUAAGACCGGCAUUCUAGAUAGGCAGGUGGAAGGUGAAAAUAAGCACAAGCAGAUCCUACUGCUGCAUGACCCUGGGUCUACUGACUCCAUACAUGUCAAUGGGACAGCCCCCUCUGUGGCACCACCAGUUAAGCCAGCCCGGAGAAACAGCUCAGGUAUGCAGCUGGAGCAAGACCUGAAGGAGUUAAAGGAUAAUUUUAAAGCCACCCUUCAAGGCCAACCCACCCCACCUGAGACUCGGGAGGAAGUGAAAGUGGGGCCUUUGCCUUUAUUAGCACAGCAGGCUAUCAACAAACCUGCCGAAACUCCCACUAAAGCAUCACCAAUGCUUCAGGUCGUCACUGCCCCUGUAACCAUAGAGGCUAGCCAGGUCAAACACAAAGUGUCUCCAAACCGGAGUCGCAAGUUCAGUCCAAUGCUGGACCGUAAACUGCGCAACCUAAAGUUCAGUGCGGUCACUGGGACGAGGGAGGGUCCUGCCACUUCCCCCCUGGCUCUUCUCAUGGCGGCUAAAGAGCGAGAGAAGCACAGGUCCAAUUUGUCACGCGAAAACAGCACAAAGAGUAAUGAGCCAUCCACCAGCAUCCAGCACAGCGAAUCCAAUCCCAAUUCUUUCACCAUCAUCCCCAGGUCCACCUCAUUCACUUCUGUGACCUCACAAGAUAAUCCACAGUCUGUGGUCCCAGUGCAGCCCCCAGUGGUGAUCCAGACUCCAGCAAAACCCCAGAUCAUUGAGUCAGUGGUGGAAAAGAGGCCAAUUGCAAAUCCAGUAUUUCAGGGGCUCCUGGCUGUGGAGAAACAAAGUGGAGAGCAGAGGAUUUCUUCCCCCUUUAGCCUUGUCAGGAAUGAAGAGAACAGGGAGGACCUAUGCUUGCCAUUACUCCCUCCCCCUCCCGAAUUUGAUGACCAUGAUGAUGUCAUGGAGUCUCCCCCCAGCUCGCCUCCACCUGACCCUCCCCCAAAGAAGGUCCUGGACCCCAUUCCCACCCCUACCUUUCCAGUCCUGCCCCCCACUGCCGGCCUUAUCGUUCCUGUCAAAACUCCCUCCCCUGCGCCCCCCCCUCCUCCAAAACCCAAACCUCCAAGCCCUCCCAAACUCCUGCCUCCCGUCAUGGAGAUCAAACCCAAGCUACCUGUUCAGACCACAACCAAGCCACCUCCUACCCAGGCGCCCUCCUCCCUCUCAGCCAGCCAGGCCACGCUCCUGACCAUCCUGCAGAAGAAGAUGCUGGAAAUGGACCACAAAAUGGACAACAAAAUGCUGUCCAUGAAGACAGACUCUGAUGACUGGGGUUCUCCCUUGUCUGAGGAGACCAUGAUCCCUGUUGUCCCCAGGGUCACCCCGAAGACCCCUGUUAUCACCGCAAAGAGCAAGAAUGCCACCUUAUCAGCCAAAACACAAGGCCUGGACAUGAAGGAGCUGGAGACUAAAAUGGCCAAGAAUUCUCAGGGUUUGUCAGCUCCAUCAAAAGUACCCAUCAGCAAUGGGCCACAGUCAAAGCAAGCGUAUGGCAUGACUUUCAUGGUACGACCCGGAACCAAACAACCAAUAACUGUUGUCAGCAAAGGGGUCUCAUCAUGA
rnacentral:lncRNA from 13 species